rnacentral:tRNA from 1 species
AGCCCCGGAGCCCUUUUGGGCUCUUCUUCAAACUUGCAUUUUGACGUAUUUCACUUCAAGGCUG